AGAGUUUGAUUCUGGCUCAGAACGAACGCUGGCAGCGUGGAUUAGGCAUGCAAGUCGAACGUGUAGCCGUUGAACAAUCUUUCGGGAGAGUGAUUCGGUGGAAAGUGGCGGAAGGGUGAGUAACGCGUGGGUGAGCUGUCUCGAAGUUGGGGACAACCAGAUGAAAAUCUGGCUAAUACCGAAUGUGGUCUUCUGGCGCAUGUCAGGAUGACUAAAGGUGGGGAUUCUUCGGAACCUGCCGCUUUGAGAGGUGCCCGCGUGCCAUCAGCUUGUUGGUAGGGUAAUGGCCUACCAAGGCUUACGGCUAGCCGGCCUGAGAGGGUGAUCGGCCACACUGGGACUGAGACACUGCCCAGACUCCUACGGGAGGCUGCAGUCGAGGAUCAUUCGCAAUGCGCGAAAGCGUGACGAUGCGACGCUGCGUGGGGGAUGAAGGCCUUCGGGUCGUAAACUCCUGUCAUGAGGGAACAGUAUCCCUGUAAUUAAUAGUUGCGGGGCUCGAUGGUACCUCAAGAGGAAGCCACGGCUAACUCUGUGCCAGCAGCCGCGGUAAUACAGAGGUGGCGAGCGUUGUUCGGAUUUACUGGGCGUAAAGGGUGCGUAGGUGGUUUUGUGUGUCGGAUGUGAAAUCCCAUGGCUCAACUGUGGAAUUGCAUUCGAAACUGCGGAACUAGAGUGCAGGAUGGGAGAGCGGAAUUCUUGGUGUAGCGGUGAAAUGCGUUGAUAUCAAGAAGAACACCGGUGGCGAAGGCGGCUCUCUGGAAUGCUACUGACACUGAGGCACGAAAGCUGGGGGAGCGAACAGGAUUAGAUACCCUGGUAGUCCCAGCCGUAAACGGUGCACACUUGGUGUGGGGAGAUUUAACCCUCUCCGUGCCGGAGUUAACGCGUUAAGUGUGCCGCCUGGGGAGUACGGCCGCAAGGCUAAAACUCAAAGAAAUUGACGGGGGCCCGCACAAGCGGAGGAGCAUGUGGCUUAAUUCGAUACAACGCGAAGAACCUUACCAGGGCUUGACAUGGGGACCCUUCGGGGGUGGUAGCGAAAGUUACCUUUACCAUCACAGGUGCUGCAUGGCUGUCGUCAGUUCGUGCCGUGAGGUGUUGGGUUAAGUCCCGUAACGAACGCAACCCUUGUGGCUAGUUGCCACCGGUGGUGAUGAGCCGCCGAGCACUCUAGCCAGACUGCCCGUACAAGCGGGAGGAAGGUGGGGAUGACGUCAAGUCAGUAUGGCCCUUACGUCCUGGGCUGCACACGUGCUACAAUGGUCGGUACAGUGGGAUGCAAUACCGCGAGGUGGAGCAAAUCCCCAAAGCCGCCCUCAGUUCGGAUUGAAGUCUGCAACUCGACUUCAUGAAGUUGGAUUCGCUAGUAACGGCGCAUCAGCUACGGCGCCGUGAAUACGUUCCCGGGCCUUGUACACACCGCCCGUCACAUCAUGAAAGCCGUCUGCACCCGAAGUCGCUGAGCCAACCAUUUAUGGAGGCAGGUGCCGAAGGUGUGGGUGGUGAUUGGGAUGAGGUCGAAACAAGGUA
rnacentral:rRNA from 1 species